rnacentral:rRNA from 1 species
UACAGAGGGUGCGAGCGUUGUUCGGAAUUACUGGGCGUAAAGCGCGCGUAGGCGGCUUUGCAAGUCGGGUGUGAAAUCCCCAGGCUUAACCUGGGAACUGCAUUCGAGACUGCAUUGCUAGAGUAUGGGAGAGGGAAGUGGAAUUUCCGGUGUAGCGGUGAAAUGCGUAGAUAUCGGAAGGAACAUCAGUGGCGAAAGCGACUUCCUGGACCAAUACUGACGCUCAUGUGCGAAAGCGUGGGGAGCAAACAGG